GUCCACGCCCUAAACGAUGGGGACUAAGUGUCGGAGGUAUCGACCCCUCCGGUGCCGCAGCUAACGCAUUAAGUCCCCCGCCUGGGGAGUACGGCCGCAAGGUUGAAACUCAAAGGAAUUGACGGGGGCCCGCACAAGCGGUGGAGCAUGUGGUUUAAUUCGACGCAACGCGAAGAACCUUACCCAGACUUGACAUGUGAGUGGUAGUGAACCGAAAGGGGAACGACCCCGCAAGGGGAGCUUACACAGGUGCUGCAUGGCUGUCGU
rnacentral:rRNA from 1 species